GUGCCAGUCAGGCUCUUGGCUGGAUUCCAGCUCUCAGCUAGUUCCAGGCUCUAGCCAGGAACUGACUACAUC
rfam:Rattus norvegicus chromosome 1, whole genome shotgun sequence.